AUAUACCGACGACGACGACGACGACGACGACGACGGUCGCACAUUCUGACAAACGGUCCAUCGUGCUCCGGAUAAUAUAUUGUCGUCGUCGUCGUCGUCGUCCUCUACG